ensembl:lncRNA
CUGGAGUCAGGUCAGGAACGCCUUAGACAUUUGCUGAUUGUCCUGUGGAUGAAGCAAAGCUCCAGAUAGGCAUGGAGAAAGGCAUUGGGCCCAGGCCCAGGGGGUGCUACCUCUGGCCCUAUUUGCCCAAAAGCCCACUGUCCACUGGUGGGCUUUCCCCAGCCUAGCCCAUCAGGAACAACUUCCUGAUGGUCUCAGGACGUGCUUACCCCAGGAAUUCUCAACUCAGUGGAACCACAGAUAUGCACCAUCACAUCUGGCAAGCAUCAUCCGUAGACACAAUCCAGGUGUUUCUGUUUGUCUUUCAUUUCUGCCUCUCUUUCUGAGAAAGGGAAGUUGGAUUCCGGGUUGGCUGCCGAGAACCAGGGCUGAAGCCGCCUCUCUAGGUACGCCAGAGGAGAAAGAACAUUGAGAUUUCCGUCCUGGAUUGUCUGCUGAGACCAACCUUGGUCAAGAAGCCUGCCUCCUAUUUAUUGAUCCACACUCUUCACAUCUUAAAUAUUUAAUAAUGUGUUUUGCUGCUUGGUAGAUUUUUUUUGGAAGCCCAAGCUAAUGUCUCUUUGUGCACACCGGUGCAUAUAUUUAAGGACUGAUUGAACGACGGAUGCUGUCUCUUACCAUGUGCUACCUUGAGACUCUUCAGCCAUCCUAACAGGACAUCCUGUGCCAUGAAUGGGGAGAACCCCUGCUGAGAUCCUGGUUUCUGUCCUCUGAAGAGAGAACACCUUGACCUUCCUGUGGUAAAGCCUCUCACCUCCUCACUACAUUCUCCCCAUGACCUGAAGCUCUCUCACAAACUUCAACAUAAGGACUUGCUUUUAUUUUGCUGAGUGUCAUGUGGCCAUCUUAAUUUUCACCUGCAAGCAGAGCUGUAGACAUGGGAUAGUCUCAUGGACAGUCUGUUACUUUAAUUCAUAGCUGAUUGAUGAGUUCAUGUUGUCUCUAGGUUCCCACAUCUCUCCUUGCUCCCCAAGCCCAGUCUUGAAAGGAUGGAGUUUUGCAAGGAUCCUUCUUGCUCCCAUUGAGAGUCGGCUGUGAGAAGGACAGUCCAGUGGGCCUCAGCUUCCUCUCCACUGUUAGCUUUUACUCUUACUCACACCAAAUGGCUUUUCUCUACACUUGAGUUCGGAGAGUUCCUGCUGGACAAAAGGACAGGAGAACUCAGAGGGAACAAAUGUUCCGGGCCUGAGGAGGUGAGGAGGAGGGAGAAGUCAAAGGCCAAAGAAAGGCAGGGUGACAAAGAAGAGGAGGAGGUCUGGUUUGGAGAGCCUUUCAAAUCCCAAUUUGACCAGAAACAAAGGGCAUUUGACACAUUUUAAAGCAAAAAUAACCAAAAUUAGUAAUUACAUCUACCAGCUUGUUUAUCAACCAUCCAGUAAGUAUCAGCACAUUCUGUCCUUGGACUGUCAACUAAAUUAAGUGAUUGCCUUAAUUAAAACUAUGAAGAGAAAUGAAAAGAAUGCGGUGCAUUCCUGUUAAUGUUUUCAGAGUCUCACCACUACGGUAGAAACUUAGCUAAAUCAUUGCAGGGAAAGCAUUUGGUCAGGUUUUGAAAUACUAUUUGUAGUGACUGCCUAGCUACAGAAAUGGGCAUUUAGAAGGACCAUCUGGAAAAGAUAGAAUUAAAAUUAAAAACUGAAUGGGGCUGGAGGGACGGCUUUGCAGUUAAGAGUGCUUGCUACUCUUCUGGAGAACCUAACUUCACUCCCCAGAACCCACAUUUGGUGCUCACAACUGCCUGUAGCUCCGGUCCAUGGUGUCUAACACCUUCUUUUAGCCUCCAGGAGCACAUGAACGUGGAACCCCCCCUUUCUCUUCUC